GACGGAGGGCGCAAGCGUUGUUCGGAAUUACUGGGCGUAAAGCGUGCGCAGGCGGUGAUGUAAGCCAGGUGUGAAAUCCCCGGGCUUAACCUGGGAACUGCAUUUGUGACUGCAUCGCUGGAGUGCGGCAGAGGGGGAUGGAAUUCCGCGUGUAGCAGUGAAAUGCGUAGAUAUGCGGAGGAACACCGAUGGCGAAGGCAAUCCCCUGGGCCUGCACUGACGCUCAUGCACGAAAGCGUGGGGAGCAAACAGG
rnacentral:rRNA from 1 species